UGCGGUACUAGCAACACCGAAACAAGUGCCUGCAUAACUAGACAAUUUCUCUGCACAAUUUGUUCUACUUUUAUUAGAAGUGUCGUUGGAUUUACUCAGAUUAUCCCUUCUUAACAGCAUACAUCCCAUUCUUAAAGUACCUGCAACAUGGUACGUUGGAGGCUGUUACAGAAGGGUUUGAUUUUUAGACGAUUUCAGAGUAUAGACGGCACCCAGGAACCGAGGAACAAACAUUGGAUCUCACACCAACUCAUAGUUGGUUCUGAUUUAUGUAUGUUCUAUUAUUUCUAUGUUAUUAAUUGUUUUGGUUAUGAGUAGCUUAGCUUUUAGAUUCACUAAGCAAUGAGAUGAAUAUGUUGCAAUCAAUGAACA
rnacentral:lncRNA from 1 species